GCUGUGUUGUGUGCAUGGCUUUUAUCUAUGUCUGGUAGCAGUGUGUGUCUGUGUUUUGCAUUCAAAUCUUGGUAUUUACACAUAUUGUGCAAAAUGUAACAUAGGAGCAUAGUGCUGAUCUAGUGUCGUUUCGUUGGACAUGACUACCAAUGUUGGCCACCCUCCAAACUCCCAUACUCAG
ensembl:snoRNA